UCAUGAGUGUUCUAUUCCAUAUCACCAAUGCAGUAUACAACACCAACCCCAUACAACCUUUACAUAAUUAACCAGAUAAUAACCUCACCAUAAACCUCUAAAUACUUAACCUUAAACAUAAUCAGUAAACCCUAAACUAAAAUAUAAACCCUAAAGUCAAAUAUAAACCUUCAACAUAAAUAGAAUGGAACUAAAUAAAUAGCAUAGUACAUAUUGGUGAAAUUAUGAAAUGUCUAUGAUAUCAUGGAAGUAGUUAAUGCUAACCCCAACCUUACUCCCUCCACCGACACUAUACCCUAAACCCAAAUAUAAACCAUAAACUCAAAUAUUAAAAGUAUGUAAGUAAUUAAUUUUCCUUAAAUCAUAAACCUAACCCCCAAUCACACAUCCCUAUAAAUUCUAAACUUUAAACUUUAUUUACUAAACCCU
rnacentral:lncRNA from 1 species